UGCCCAGCAACUCCUAUUCCUACUUCCACGAGGUAUCGGCUGAAAACUAUGAGCAACCUUAAGAAAGAUCAAGUAACCAACCCCGGUGGGAACUUUGGUCGUAGGCUGACAGGGAAGG
rfam:Aedes albopictus isolate Foshan contig12039, whole genome shotgun sequence.